GCACUGGUGGUCUGGUGGUGGAAUUCUCACCUUCCACGUGGGAGACUCAGGUUCAAUUCCUGACCAGUACA
rnacentral:tRNA from 1 species